rnacentral:misc_RNA from 1 species
GUAUUUUUAUUAAUGCUCCGUAGAGCAGAUAAACAUGCAUUUAACUUGGUAUUAAUUAUAAAAGUGAUGACAAGUCAGCCUCAAAGUCCCGGAAAAACCGGAACCGCAGCCCUUUGUCGGGACUGGGAGACUCACGAGCCAUGGGUUCACAGGUGUAUGUGGAUUGAAGUCGAGAGGUAAGCACAUGCCCAAAGGCCAGCUCAACCCCUCUAAUCAUACUGUAAUGAUCCUUCCGCAGGUUCACCUACGGAAA